rnacentral:lncRNA from 1 species
AUUUGUUUUCUCAGGGCCGCGGGCCAACCCAACACCAGAUGAGGCACCGAUGGAAAGAUCUGUGCGCUGAAGAGUCUGCGAUCAGGCAGAGGAGAUGAACAAUUCGCACCAACUGGGUUCACCGCUGAGACACUCACAUGGCUGACCUGGGAGCCACGGCAAAGAGCCACUGAAAAGGAGUCUGGAGACAGGAAUGCUCGCUCGGAUGUGUGAGACAGGAGUCUGACCAGGUCCUGACGUCACGGUGCGUGAGUUCGAGCCCCGCAUCGGGCUCUACGCUGACCAAGUGGAGCCUACUUUGGAUUCUCUCUCUCUGCCCCUGCCCCACUCUUUCUCAAAAAAUAAAAUAAAAUAAAUACAAUAAAAUCAACCCAGAG